CUACGAUAUCGAUACUGUGAUAAAAUUUUAAUCAAUAAAACAAACACGCGAACCAAAAACCUGACAGUAUUGAACGUAUGAUCAAGCAAGUGUGAUUUAAUUUUCAUCAUUAAGUUCGUGUUUGCGAAGUCAAUUACAGCUAUGUCACCCCCCGGCCCACCACAUGGCCACCACGGGCCGCCGCCGCACCACCCACCGCCUCCACCUCACCAUCCACCACCGCCACCACACCAUGGCCCGCCGCCCCACUUCUUCGGACCGCCACCGCCAAAUCACCACGGGCCACCGCAUCACCACGGACCGCCCCACCACCACAGCCCACCUCACCCCCACGGGCCCUCACACCACCACGGACCCCCACACCAUCACCCUCCACCCCAUGGCCGCCACUUUUAAUAACACCUAGCAUUUAAAUAUUUUAGGGUUGUAUUUAUCGAAACAAUAAGAAAUUAAGAGAAAAUUCAAAUUUCUUCUUUAAUAAUAAAAACUUAGUAAUUAUUAUAUAUAAAUUAAUACAAUCAAUGUAUCAUCCACCAACAUGCAUUGAUUCAACGUUGUGGAAUAAUCUUCAAACUGUCUCCCCAUAAAGUAGAAGACACCUUAGGCCAGCGUUGAGAAAUUUACAGUCUGUUAAUUUUACAAUUAUAUAGGCUUACUAGCUGAACCUGCGGCUUUAGUUCCAUAAACUUCCAACCCCAGCUCUACCCACUUAGGGGUGGAUCUUCGUAAAAUCCGUUCUUAGGGGAUGUCUACACCCUAUGAGGAACCUACCUGGCAAAUUUCAAGUUUGUAGGUGUUACAGUUUCAGAAAUUUCGUAAUAAAUCAGUGACUGGUAUUUCGCUUUUAUAUAUAAAGAUUAAAUGUUUGAAUCAAAACCCCACAAAUAAUAUGAAAUCAAAUCAAAUCGAAUGUAUUUUAAUAUUAAUGUAACUGUGAAAAUUCAAUACGUUUGUAUAUUAAAUAAAUUUCGUAUUCUGAAAUAUUCCUUUUAAAGAAUAUAUGAGAAAUAAAUGAUAACAUUAU